GCAAGUCGAGCGGUAGCACAGAGAGCUUGCUCUCGGGUGACGAGCGGCGGACGGGUGAGUAAUGUCUGGGAAACUGCCUGAUGGAGGGGGAUAACUACUGGAAACGGUAGCUAAUACCGCAUAACGUCGCAAGACCAAAGAGGGGGACCUUCGGGCCUCUUGCCAUCAGAUGUGCCCAGAUGGGAUUAGCUAGUAGGUGGGGUAACGGCUCACCUAGGCGACGAUCCCUAGCUGGUCUGAGAGGAUGACCAGCCACACUGGAACUGAGACACGGUCCAGACUCCUACGGGAGGCAGCAGUGGGGAAUAUUGCACAAUGGGCGCAAGCCUGAUGCAGCCAUGCCGCGUGUAUGAAGAAGGCCUUCGGGUUGUAAAGUACUUUCAGCGAGGAGGAAGGCACUGUGGUUAAUAACCACAGUGAUUGACGUUACUCGCAGAAGAAGCACCGGCUAACUCCGUGCCAGCAGCCGCGGUAAUACGGAGGGUGCAAGCGUUAAUCGGAAUUACUGGGCGUAAAGCGCACGCAGGCGGUCUGUCAAGUCGGAUGUGAAAUCCCCGGGCUCAACCUGGGAACUGCAUUCGAAACUGGCAGGCUAGAGUCUUGUAGAGGGGGGUAGAAUUCCAGGUGUAGCGGUGAAAUGCGUAGAGAUCUGGAGGAAUA
rnacentral:rRNA from 1 species